UACGUAGGGGGCUAGCGUUGUCCGGAAUCAUUGGGCGUAAAGAGCGUGUAGGCGGUCCGGUAAGUCAGCUGUGAAAGUCAAGGGCUCAACCCUUGAAUGCCGGUUGAUACUGUCGGGCUAGAGUCCGGAAGAGGCGAGUGGAAUUCCCGGUGUAGCGGUGAAAUGCGCAGAUAUCGGGAGGAACACCAAUGGCGAAGGCAGCUCGCUGGGACGGUACUGACGCUGGGACGCGAAAGCGUGGGGAGCAAACAGG
rnacentral:rRNA from 1 species